UGCGUAGGCGGAAUAUUAAGUCAGUGGUGAAAUCCGGCGGCUCAACCGUAGAACUGCCAUUGAUACUGAUAUUCUUGAAUGUAGUUGAGGUAGGCGGAAUGUGUAAUGUAGCGGUGAAAUGCUUAGAUAUUACACAGAACACCGAUUGCGAAGGCAGCUUACUAAACUAUGAUUGACGCUGAGGCACGAAAGCGUGGGUAGCGAACAGGAUUAGAUACCCUGGUAGUCC
rnacentral:rRNA from 1 species